AGAGAAUCACUUGAACCCAGGAGGCAGACGUUGCAGUGAGCCGAGAUUGCACCACUGCACUCCAGCCUGGGCAACAGCG
rnacentral:snRNA from 1 species